rnacentral:rRNA from 1 species
GGACCCGCACAAGCAGCGGAGCAUGUGGUUUAAUUCGAAGCAACGCGAAGAACCUUACCAAGGCUUGACAUCCCUUGACAGCCGUGGAAACACGGUUUCCCUUCGGGGCAAGGAGACAGGUGGUGCAUGGUUGUCGUCAGCUCGUGUCGUGAGAUGUUGGGUUAAGUCCCGCAACGAGCGCAACCCUUGUCAUUAGUUGCCAGCACGUAAAGGUGGGAACUCUAAUGAGACUGCCGGGGAUAACUCGGAGGAAGGUGGGGACGACGUCAAAUCAUCAUGCCCCUUAUGUCUUGGGCUACACACGUGCUACAAUGGCCGGUACAAAGAGCUGCAAUACCGUAAGGUGGAGCGAAUCUCAUAAAGCCGGUCUCAGUUCGGAUCGUGGGCUGCAACCCGCCCACGUGAAGCCGGAGUUGCUAGUAAUCGCGAAUCAGCAUGUCGCGGUGAAUGCGUUCCCGGGUCUU